CUCUGAUUGGAUGCCGGUGCGAGCACGAGGGGGAAUCAGCGCACUGCCGGGGCAGGGCACAGCGGCUAUAACGGGCGGAAUGAGCCGUGAGAGUAGUCGAGCGUGUAGUAGUUAUUUGCGUCUCCGUGUACGUGCUGUAGAAAUAUACUUGUGCUUGGAACUGUGUGCGAAGGGUACUUCUGGCUCCCCGAUAUAUCCCUCACUCUUGGCCUUUGGUUCUUUAGUUGCAAUGUGUUUGCUCACCCUGUGUGAUGACCUCCUCACCUCAAGUUUUAGUAUCAAGUUAGAAUCGGUUACCUUCUUCAUCCUCGCAGAAAAUAAAUCAAGAGCUGACUGGGCAGUGAAGACCAAACCACUCCUCAGUCUGCUUUCUCUUUUGCAGGCUGAACAGCCCCAGGUCUCUCAGCCUUUCCUCAUAUAGGAGAUGCUUCAGGCACUUCAUCAUCUUCAGGGCCUUCCGCUGGUCUCUCUCUAGAAGUUCCCUGUCUUUCCUGAGCUGAGGAACCCAGAACUGCACACAGUACUCUGGAUGUGGCCCCACCUGGGCAGAGCAGAGGGGGAGGAUCAUCUCUUUUGAUCUGCUGGCCACGCUCUUUUAAGUGCACUCCAGAAUACCACUGGAAGAUAGAAGACAAAAUUAUUAGAGCCAGAAUUAGGCUCCUCAAGGCCUAAUUGAACAGAUUCCAAGGCAUACACUCUUCUCUGUUUACACUGCAAUUUUUUUUAUUUUCACCAUUGCUUCCUGUGAUGUCAGACUCAAGCAGUUGCACUUGUUAUUUGAAGAAGACUGGGGAAGAACAGAAACCUCUCAAAGAAAGGGAACCCAAAGGUGUUUGGCAAAAGAAGUUCUUCUUGUCCUUCUAGUACUACCUUUCUUUAUAUUCCGCAUCACAUGAAUAUAAACUCACUGUAAAGCUUUCUAGGUAUGUACAGGCAUUUGAAACAGGAUGGUUUGUUAGCCUUCGUAUUUCAUCUCUUGUUGGCUGCCUGGGAGUCUGAAAAUUUAUCUUCCAUUCCAGCACAGACCAAGACCCAGUGUACAUACCAAAGUGCUUAAACACUUCUGCUCAUUAGCUCCCAGUAUUUCUUCAGGCUCACUUCACUGUUUUGAGAAGAAAUUGUAUUGUCAGCACAGUGUUUUUCAAUAAUGUUUUAAUGAUAUGAAAUGUAUCAAUUAAAGAUGACAUUUACUGUUUUUUUUUCAGUGCUGAGAAAAUGACACCACUAGAGCCAUUUUCUAAGUAACUGAAGAAGAUCAACUAAAAUAAGAUUGUAAUUUCAUUAGGUAGAUGCACAAUAAGAUUACAGUAUCUUGUGAAGUUCCUAAAAGCUUACAGUGCAAAUAGUAGCUAAUAUUCUGAGACUGUCUUAGUUUCCAUAAAACUUGAGUAUAUGCAUAGUAAACUAUUAUUCUAGAAAACAAAUUAAUAAACUAUUAAAUGUAUCUUUCCUUGAUUUAAAAUGCUCAAAAGUUUCUUCAAACAGCAUGCAAAAGAGUCUUCUAUCCUUAAUUUAUGUAUCAUCAUCACAGAAGAGGAAGGCAUUCACGGUACUCUAAACCAGCUCAAAAAGUAAAUCAAAUAUUAAAGCAUUGUGGGUUUUUUUCAUGUACAAUAAUAUUUAGAUUAUGCAAAAAUCAAUUUCAAUAUCAAUUCUGUGCAGUUCAGGUUAGUGUAACACAAGCCUCUGUAUCUUAUUGUUUGUUGGUUUGUUGUUUUUUUUUUUCCUCCACCUUUAAAUUAAGUGGGAAAAGUCCUUUACGUCUAUAAUUUUCCAAAUGCCUGUAUUUUGUGGUUUUCAUGGGGUCUGAUGUGGUUUUGUUCUGAUAAUCCUCUUCCUUACUGAGUUGUCACACUAGCCAUGGAAAUACACUGUUAUUGCUGAAUUUAUUUCAGCUUUUAAUUCAGCUGACUUGUUCCAAAAUAAUUUUAAAAAUCUCCUGAGAUAUUAAUGUCCUAUUAUUUUAAGAGCGUUUCCUACUGUGAUGUACCCCAAGGAAAUAGAACAGUUUUUUUCUUGGUAUCUAACUAUCAUUUGUUGGAUAUCCUGAUUCAGACAGACCUUCAGCAAAAAUUGUUGAUGUUCUUCAAAAGCUACUGUACUUUGCUAAACUGACAGACAAAGAAACAAAAAUGCCAUGAGAAAAUUAAUUUGCCUCACUUUCAGACUCACUAAGCCUGAAGAGAAUAACGUAGUAAAUCUAAAUUAAUCAAGGAAAGAAAAAACUGGAUGAUGAAAUACAUUGCAAGCUAUAUACUUAUUACAGAUUUUUAAAGAAAUCAGGAAAUAGGAGCUAUAUAGGAGGCUUAUAUUUUCAACAGAUUGAAUAUAGCAGUUACUAAAAGAGUGGUUGUAUUUGAUGACUGUUUUCAACUUCAAACCACAUUUCCCCCUAGAGUUUUAUGAAAUAUGAAAAAAAAAAGGACAUUUUUUAAUGCUUAGAUUACUGGAAAAUCAGAUGUACAAUUGUGCUGAAUUAAUUUUGAACCAUUUUAAGAGUAGAAAUUUCUUCAUUUGGGUGAGUGAUAUUGAUAUUUCUCCUAGCUUGCAAAGUUUGUAGAGACUCCUGUCAGUUGUGGACUUUUUUUUAUUGACCCAGCCAUACAUAUUAACUUUAGGUGGUUAUGAAUAAGUUGGGUAAUGUCAGCCUCUCUUACAGCAGUUUGUGUGGCAUGAAGCUGUAUUUCUGGUCUUCCAAAUCAAACACUAUAUGUAGUGCUAUUGGAAAUAAUACAUUAAUUUUUUUUAGAGAACUAAAAAGUCUGUUGAACAAGCAUUAUUUGAAGGUUGAUAUGGAUUGAUUUACCAUUAUUGAAUGCCAUAAUUAACCUGAAGUGCUGACCUCCUUACUGAAGCAAAUUAGUGAUACAACUAUGAAAAGAAGUAUUCGCUUUAUUUGUUUUGGAGAAGAUUGAAACAGUGGGACAUAAGGCAGUAAGCUUCUUUAUAGCAUAGAAUCAUAGAAUGGUUUGGGCUGGAUGGGACAUUUAAGAUCACCUAGUUCCAACUCCACCUGCUAUAGGCAGGGACACCUCCCUUUAGACCGGGUUACUCAAAGCCCCAUCCAGCCUGGCUUUGAAUGCUGAACGUGGAGGAGGCAUCCACAGCCUCUCUAAGCAACCACUUCCAGUGUCUUACCACACCUACAGUAAAGAAUUUAUUCCUAAUAUCUAGUCUAAAUCUACCCUAGCAAAAGGAAAAGGGGAAAUGGUUUUAAACUGGAAGAGGGUAGGUUUAGACAAGAUAUUAGGAAGAAAUUCUUUACUGUGAGGGCGGAGGCUGUGGAUGGCCCCGUCCUAGAAGCACCUGUUUAUAGCAGGUGGAGUUGGAGCUAGAUGAUCUUAAGGGUCCCAUCCAGCCCAAACCAUUCUGAAUCUGUGAAGGCUGAGAAGACAGAAAUUCAGGUUUAAAAGAAUAAACUAUAUGCAGACUCAUAUCUUCUAACUUCAUUAUUUACUGGACAAUUACACUGCUUUAGUCUACCAACUUGCCAAUGAAGCCAAGUUUUGUUUCACUGAGGUCAGCAGGAAAAAUCUUGACUAUUGGAACAACUGCAAUUCAUACUCUACGCUUACACUCUACAAUAUCAAAAACGAAUGCAUUUCACAGUUUGAAAUUUCAGGCUGUUUCUCUGGGUGUUUUUUGUUUGCUUGUUUGUUUGUUUGUUUGGGUUUUGGUUUUGUUCUGUUUUUCCAGAUUUUAGCAAAAACAUUAUUGUAAAAAAACAAAUUCAUAUUUGAAAACAUGAUGUUUUUCGGGAAAAAAAAAGCAAAAAAAUCAAAGGUAUUUCCUUUCUCUCCUUAGAAACUGACAUACAUUAAACAUGCCUUCACUUUUUAAUAAAAGUUGUCACUCAUCAUCUAGACUUCUAGUCUGGAAUCUAGUCAGAUCACAGUGUAUUUUACAUUACAAGGAAAGGUUGUAUGUCUGAAUAAUUUAAGCGUAGCUGGUACCUGCUGAAGAGUCUUCAGAAUAAAAGCACAUUAUAUUUUUUCAACAUUCUCGUUAACUUAAAAAAAAAAAUUAAAAAAGGAAAGUUGUUCAUAGACAAAAUAAACUUCUCAAAUCCAUCUUAAACAUACUGGAACACAUUAAGCAGACGGACAGAUCAAUACCUUUAAAAUUGUAAGAACAAUCUGAAACGUUUUGCUGUAAGCUCAUUUUCUAACAGUUUUACCUCGUCCUCUUUCAAAUGGGACUGAUUUUUAAAACUGCUUCCUCCACAUUCAGCAUUCAAAGCCAGGCUGGAUGGAGCUUUGAGUAACCUGGUCUAGAGGCAGGUGUCCCUGCCUAUAGCAAGUGGAGUUGGAGCUAGAUGAUCUUAAAUGUCCCAUACAGCCCAAACCAUUCUAUAAUUCUGUGGUCAAAUAUGUGUUGGUAUUCUACUCAAGUAUCACACUCUACCUGCAGUCUCAAGAAUCAUGCAGUCCUGAGCGUACAGUAAAUUAGAAACACUCUCUUUACUAACUUUCUCCAAUUGCUACAGCUUUUAUUCUUCUAAAAUGAU
rnacentral:lncRNA from 1 species